rnacentral:tRNA from 1 species
GUGAGUAUAGCUUAAUUGGUAAAGCCCCAGCUUGUGGAGCUGGAAGAUAUCGGUUCGAGUCCGUUUAUUCACCC